rnacentral:tRNA from 1 species
GCGGGUAUAGCUCAGAGGCAGAGCAGGCGGUUUCCAACCAUCAGGUCGAGAUUUCGAAAUUCUCUAUCCGCUCCA